rnacentral:rRNA from 1 species
AUUGAACGCUGGCGGCAGGCCUAACACAUGCAAGUCGAGCGGUAGAGAGGUGCUUGCAUCUCUUGAGAGCGGCGGACGGGUGAGUAAUGCCUAGGAAUCUGCCUAGUGGUGGGGGAUAACGUUUCGGAAACGGACGCUAAUACCGCAUACGUCCUACGGGAGAAAGCGGGGGAUCUUCGGACCUCGCGCCAUUAGAUGAGCCUAGGUCGGAUUAGCUAGUUGGUGAGGUAAUGGCUCACCAAGGCGACGAUCCGUAACUGGUCUGAGAGGAUGAUCAGUCACACUGGAACUGAGACACGGUCCAGACUCCUACGGGAGGCAGCAGUGGGGAAUAUUGGACAAUGGGCGAAAGACCUGAUCCAGCCAUGCCGCGUGUGUG